CAAUCUUUCUCAUUAGAAGCUUGAUGGAGAAAUAUAGAGAUAUGAAGAAAGAUCUACACAAGGUUUUUAUUGAUUUGGAGAAGGCUUAUGAUAGUGUUCCAAGAGAGGUCUUAUGGAGAGUGUUAGAACAAAAGAGGGUAUCUAUUAGGUACAUACAAGUAUUGAAAGAUAUGUAUGAAGGAGCAACUGCUAUUGUGCGCACAGUGGGAGAGGACACAAGAGAUUUUUCGAUCUCAAUUGGAUUACACCAAGGAUCAGCCAUAAGCCCUUACCUUUUUACAUUAGUUUUAGAUGAACUGACGAAACAUAUACAAGAGAGUAUUCCUUGGUGCAUGAUGUUUGCGGAUGAUAUUGUUCUGAUAGAUGAGACACGAGAAUGAGUCAAUAGAAAGCUAGAACUUUGGAGAAGUACUCUAGAGUCAAAGGGUUUUAAGUUAAGUAGAACGAAGACAGAAUACAUGCAUUGCAAGUUUAGUGAAGGCCAAACUGGUGAUAGGGAAGGAGUUAGUUUGAAUGGAGUGGUACUGUCCCAAAGUAAUCACUUUAAAUAUCUAGGCUCAGUCCUCCAAGUAGAUGGGGGAUGUGAGGAGGAUGUUAGUCAUAGGAUUAAAGCCGGAUGGUUGAAGUGGAGACGUGCCACGGGAGUUUUAUGUGAUCGUAAGAUUCCCAAUAAAUUGAAAGGAAAAUUUUACCGUACAGCCAUACGAUCGGCUAUGUUAUAUAGUAGUGAGUGUUGGGCACUGAAAGAGUCGUAUGCAUCUAAGAUAAGAGUUGCAGAGAUGAGAAUGUUAAGGUGGAUGAGUGGACAUACUAGACUAGAUAAAGUCCGUAAUGAGAGUAUUAGAGAAAAGGUAGGAGUGGUGCCAAUUGAAGAUAAGUUGAGAGAAGGGAGAUUGAGGUGGUUUGGUCAUGUGAAGCGUAGACAUACGGAGGCUCCAGUUAGACAAGUAGAGCACAUUAGGUUAGAGGAUAGAAAGAAAAAAAGGGGUAGACCUAAAUUGACUUGGAGGAGAGUAGUACAACAUGAUUUAGAAGCAUUACACAUUUCUGAGGAUUUAACCCAAAAUCGUUCAGAGUGGAGAAAGCGAAUCCAUAUAGCCGAUCCCAAAUUUUUGGGAUAAAGGCUUAGUUGAGUUGAGUUGAGUAGUGUGUACUUUUCUGAAAACCAAUUGCAUUAACCAUGUGAUUUGGUUAGUGGUUACUUAAAAAAAAAAAAUGCACGAUGGGCUACUGGCUUGGCUGCUGGUGAAGGGGACUGGAUGAGAGAGUUUUCUUAUUUUUUUUAAAGUAGUGAUUGAUCUUACUGAUGCUGGUCAUGAACACAUGCAGGAUAUUGUAGGGCUGCUAUUCAAAUACAUUCAGCUCUUGCAGCAAUCUGGUGUUAGCAAAUGGAUAUUUGAUGACGUAUGGGAAUAUAAUAUGCAUCAUAUGAUGAUGAAUCCUACUUUAAAUUUCAUCUUGUAAAUCAUAAUGUUCCAAAUUUAUCCUGUUAAUACAUAUGUAUAUGCAUAUGGGCUAUUCGCUAGAAAGAGCUCCAUGUCAUGGUAAUUCUUGGUAUUUGGAAAUCCUGCUAAAUCUACAUGUUAUCUUUAAUAGAGUUCGGGUAUUGAGAUGUUCAGUAACGAUUAAAUAUUUUUCCCCUAUGACUUCUAGAUUCAUGCAAAAUGAAUCAGACCAACUGUUUUCAUAUUCUAUGUUUUCUUGCAGUUGAAUGCUGAUUCAGUUAAUCUUAUUUUCCAGUUAACAAAUUAAAUGUGGCAAUAUAUUAGUUGACUUAUAUAAAUUCAAAAAAAAUUGCAUAAGAGAAAGGUCUUAAUAUAUUUUUGAUAGCAUAAUGGGUUACAAACAUGUCACAAUUUUGAGAGUGAAAUUUUCAUGAUGCACAUGACAGUUUUAUGUUUCUCCACAGAAAAUUAUCUUUUUAAGAGCAUUUAUCAUCUCUCUUUGUUAGGUUUCUACCUGAUUUAUAGUUAUCCUUAACAUUUAGUUUCAGUAUUGAGGUUUGUCUUUCAUUUUCUUGAAGAUUCUGAAACAUUUUAUCAUUUGGAUGAAGCUUGCUGCUGUUUGUGAGACAAUAUUUCAUUAUCAGGACAAAACCCCUCUGAUUGAUUACGUGGUCAAAAUUGCAUCCAAUAUGGAGGUAUGCUUGUAUUCCUUCCUUUCAAUUUUUUUUAACGUGCUACCUUUUGGAUUUGUAUAUUUUUGUUUCUUUUGGUUGACAUUGUAGUUACACGAUACUCAAAAUGUUAUUCUGGUGCAAAUUGUGCUAAAAUUGCUCUUAUAGAAAGGUUGUUGGAAAAGUCCCUUGAAACAGCAAGCAUCUUUAUUUCGUUACAUCCUUCAAGUUAUGAAAAGCAACACCCAUUUGUACAUUUUAUUUUGUGUUCUGUGAGUUGGAGAGUUGUUAAUUUGAGAGGUGGCUUAUUGUGAGGACAAAGUGAAGAAAAAAAACUUGCACCACUGGUGGGGAGGAAAGAUUAUUGUUUAAUGCCCCAAGUAUGCAAAGCAAGCCAUUAUGCAAAUCCAUUGUUCAACGGGAUCUCCGUGAUUUCUAUCUAUACAUUUGGAAGAUCCUACAAGAGUCAUACAGCUGUAUCAUUCCCUCCCUCUAUUAUAAAUGAAUUAAUUAUUCAUGCUCAGUUAAUGUCAUAACAAGCCAAUGUAAUAUUGGCACUGUAUGAAAUUUUGGUAAGAUUUGUUCUAUCUUUGGAUAGUUUUCUUUAUAAAUUCUUUAUUUCUAUCUUA